rnacentral:rRNA from 1 species
AGGACGAACGCUGGCGGUGUGCUUAACACAUGCAAGUGGAGCGACGAACCAGAGCUUGCUCUGGGGCAGAGCCGCGAACGGGUGAGUAACACGUGGGUAACCUACCCCGAUGACCGGGACAACCCGAGGAAACUCGGGCUAAUACCGGAUAUGUCCGACAUUCACGAGGAUGUCGAGCAAAGGAAGCUUCGGCCUCCGCUUCGGGAGGGGCCCGCGGCCCAUUAGCUAGUUGGUGGGGUAAUGGCCUACCAAGGCUGCGACGGGUA